rnacentral:rRNA from 1 species
CCUACGGGAGGCAGCAGUGGGGAAUAUUGGACAAUGGGCGCAAGCCUGAUCCAGCCAUGCCGCGUGGGUGAUGAAGGCCCUAGGGUUGUAAAGCCCUUUCGGCGGGGAAGCGGUACCCGCAGAAGAAGCCCCGGCUAACUUCGUGCCAGCAGCCGCGGUAAUACGAAGGGGGCUAGCGUUGCUCGGAAUCACUGGGCGUAAAGCGCACGUAGGCGGUUUCUUAAGUCAGGGGUGAAAUCCUGGAGCUCAACUCCAGAACUGCCUUUGAUACUGGGAGACUUGAGUCCGGGAGAGGUGAGUGGAACUGCGAGUGUAGAGGUGAAAUUCGUAGAUAUUCGCAAGAACACCAGUGGCGAAGGCGGCUCACUGGCCCGGACUGACGCUGAGGUGCGAAAGCGUGGGGAGCAAACAGGAUUAAUACCCUUGUAGUC